CGGCACGGUGAGUAACACGUAUGCAACCUGCCUGCCACAGCCGGAUAAUCGGGAGAAAUUCCGUCUAAUACGGCAUAAUGCAUCGACGGGACAUCCUGUUGGUGCCAAGGUAAUUCCGGUGGCGGAUGGGCAUGCGUCGCAUUAGUUAGUUGGCGGUGUAACGGACCACCAAGACGACGAUGCGUAGGGGUUCUGAGAGGAAGGUCCCCCACACUGGUACUGAGACACGGACCAGACUCCUACGGGAGGCAGCAG
rnacentral:rRNA from 1 species